GACGAACGCUGGCGGCGUGCUUAACACAUGCAAGUCGAACGGAAAGGCCCUGCUUUUGUGGGGUGCUCGAGUGGCGAACGGGUGAGUAACACGUGAGUAACCUGCCCUUGACUUUGGGAUAACUUCAGGAAACUGGGGCUAAUACCGGAUAGGAGCUCCUGCUGCAUGGUGGGGGUUGGAAAGUUUCGGCGGUUGGGGAUGGACUCGCGGCUUAUCAGCUUGUUGGUGGGGUAGUGGCUUACCAAGGCUUUGACGGGUAGCCGGCCUGAGAGGGUGACCGGCCACAAUGGGACUGAGAUUCGGCCCAGACUCCUACGGGAGGCAGCAGUGGGGAAUAUUGCACAAUGGGCGGAAGCCUGAUGCAGCAACGCCGCGUGCGGGAUGACGGCCUUCGGGGUGUAAACCGCUUUCGCCUGUGACGAAGCGUGAGUGACGGUAAUGGGUAAAGAAGCACCGGCUAACUACGUG
rnacentral:rRNA from 1 species